CUCAUAAAUAAUCAAGAAGAGGGACUGCCCACUAUAACUGAAGUACCCAUGAGGAUGGCAAGAUCUUUCAAUCAGAAGGUAAAUGAACAAGCAAAGUCAUGAGAAUCAUGUGGAAUGUAUUUUCACUUCUCAUUUAAACUAGGCUACCAAUAAUGAAAUUACAAUUUGUUUUUUUUUUUUUUU